UACGUAGGGCGCAAGCGUUGUCCGGAAUUAUUGGGCGUAAAGAGCUCGUAGGUGGCUUGUCGCGUCUGCCGUGAAAGCCCGUGGCUUAACUACGGGUCUGCGGUGGAUACGGGCAGGCUAGAGGCUGGUAGGGGCAAGCGGAAUUCCUGGUGUAGCGGUGAAAUGCGCAGAUAUCAGGAGGAACACCGGUGGCGAAGGCGGCUUGCUGGGCCAGUUCUGACGCUGAGGUGCGAAAGCGUGGGGAGCAAACAGG
rnacentral:rRNA from 1 species